rnacentral:rRNA from 1 species
CAGUCGCCACGGUAAUACGAAGGGUGCAAGCGUUACUCGGAAUUACUGGGCGUAAAGCGUGUGUAGGUGGUUGUUUAAGUCUGUCGUGAAAGCCCUGGGCUCAACCUGGGAAUUGCGAUGGAUACUGGGCGACUAGAGUGCGGUAGAGGAUAGUGGAAUUUCCGGUGUAGCAGUGAAAUGCGUAGAGAUCGGAAGGAACAUCUGCGGCGAAUGCGACUAUCUGGGCCAACACUGACACUGAGACACGAAAGCGUGGGGAGCAAACAGGAUUAGAGACCCCGGUAGUCCCUGUCUCUUAUAC